UGGGUAACCUGCCUUAUAGUGGGGGAUAGCCUUUCGAAAGGAAGAUUAAUACCGCAUAAGAUUGUAGUAUCGCAUGAUAUAGCAAUUAAAAGGAGCAAUUCGCUAUAAGAUGGACCCGCGUCGCAUUAGCUAGUUGGUGAGGUAAUGGCUCACCAAGGCGACGAUGCGUAGCCGACCUGAGAGGGUGAUCGGCCACAUUGGGACUGAGACACGGUCCAGACUCCUACGGGAGGCAGCAUG
rnacentral:rRNA from 1 species